UACGUAGGUGGCGAGCGUUGUCCGGAUUUACUGGGCGUAAAGAGCGCGCAGGCGGUCGUACAAGUCGCGUGUGAAAGCCCCCGGCUUAACCGGGGAGGGUCGUCGGGGACGGUGGAGCUUGAGGGCGGGAGAGGUCGGUGGAAUUCCCGGUGUAGUGGUGAAAUGCGUAGAGAUCGGGAGGAACACCUGUGGCGAAGGCGGCCGACUGGGCCGACCCUGACGCUGAGGCGCGAAGGCGUGGGGAGCAAACAGG
rnacentral:rRNA from 1 species